UACGAAGGGGGCUAGCGUUGCUCGGAAUUACUGGGCGUAAAGGGAGCGUAGGCGGAUAGUUUAGUCAGAGGUGAAAGCCCAGGGCUCAACCUUGGAAUUGCCUUUGAUACUGGCUAUCUUGAGUACGGAAGAGGUAUGUGGAACUCCGAGUGUAGAGGUGAAAUUCGUAGAUAUUCGGAAGAACAUCAGUGGCGAAGGCGACAUACUGGUCCGUUACUGACGCUGAGGCUCGAAAGCGUGGGGAGCAAACAGG
rnacentral:rRNA from 1 species